UUAGUAUUUUAUGUACUACGAAGUCAAAUAAAAUAUUUGAUAUAACUUGGGAAAAAAGGUUCGGAAUAAUUUGGCUAAUAAUUCAAUAAAACACUGUACAAAAAUACAAUGGAUUAACUAUAACCAUUUUUUUGUACAAAAAAUAAUGCUCCUUCUGAUCUGAAUAAAAAUAAUUCUAAAUAAAAUUUCACAAUUUUAUAUAUCCAAUACGAUGUACAACUUGAUUUUUCAAUGUAUCUCGUUUAGAUGAUUUUGAAGUAAGAUGCUGCAUGUUGAAUUCCCUUUUGUUAUCUGUAUGAUGAUUAACUAUAUGAGAUUAAAGAGUUAUGUAAGAGUUAUUUUCAUAGAAUUCAAGUGAUCUUUAUGUACAAAGAAAAUCUUUAAAACUAAGUGUUGAAUUUAAUGACACAAUUUAAGGUCAAACAAGAUAUAUAUAUUUUUUGGAAAUUAUUGGAAAGAAUUGCUAUAUUGAAGCGGCUGAUAUUCAAAAGUAAUAAAUAUGAUAAUUUAGGUAAUUGACUUUUAUAUAUUCCUUUAUAAUCUAUAAAACUAAAAUGAUAUUAAAUUUUCUCCAAAAAAUAAAAAUAAUAAUAGAAGUAGAGCAAAGAUAUUUACAAUUAAUUAUAAUAAAUCGUAUUAUUUGUAUAUUCUUUUGUGUUGCACAGAUACCAAAUUGAUCAUUUUAUAUCGAUAACUAGAUAAUUCUAAAGACUAAAACUAAAUGAACAUCUCGAUUAUAUCAACCAUUUGGUGACAGAGAAUAUUCACCUUGUCAAAUGAGCAUACAUUUAUUAGUGUUGAUUAAGAAUAAUAGUAAACAUUUAAAAUUUUAUACAUAAUACUAUUAUAUUUUAAAUAAAAAGUAGGAUAAAUUUUAAAUUAAUGAUAUCAAAAAUUUAAUAACAGACAACACCAACUUUAAAACAUAGAUUUUAAAAAAAGGAUUAUGAAUUUACAAGACUACUUAGAUUUUUUUUUUGUAUUUUUGAAAUAUUAAACAUUGAUUCUUAUAAUGAUCAUUGAUGUAAACUAUAAUAGAGUUAUUUUUACACCUUCUAAUAAAAUAUCGAUUUAUAAGAAAAAAUAUUUAAUUCUUCAUUGGAUAUAAAUUCAUAAAUGUAUGG
rnacentral:lncRNA from 1 species